rnacentral:rRNA from 1 species
GACGAACGCUGGCGGCGUGCCUAAUACAUGCAAGUAGAACGCUGAAGAGAGGAGCUUGCUCUUCUUGGAUGAGUUGCGAACGGGUGAGUAACGCGUAGGUAACCUGCCUUGUAGCGGGGGAUAACUAUUGGAAACGAUAGCUAAUACCGCAUAACAAUAGGUGACACAUGUCAUUUAUUUGAAAGGGGCAAUUGCUCCACUACAAGAUGGACCUGCGUUGUAUUAGCUAGUAGGUGAGGUAACGGCUCACCUAGGCGACGAUACAUAGCCGACCUGAGAGGGUGAUCGGCCACACUGGGACUGAGACACGGCCCAGACUCCUACGGGAGGCAGCAGUAGGGAAUCUUCGGCAAUGGGGGCAACCCUGACCGAGCAACGCCGCGUGAGUGAAGAAGGUUCUCGGAUCGUAAAGCUCUGUUGUAAGUCAAGAACGAGUGUGAGAGUGGAAAGUUCACACUGUGACGGUAGCUUACCAGAAAGGGACGGCUAACUACGUG